AGCAGCCGCGGUAAUUCCAGCUCCAAUAGCGUAUAUUAAAGUUGUUGCAGUUAAAAAGCUCGUAGUUGAAUUUCGGGGUCAGUAGGCUGGUCGUGCCACAGGUAUGUACUGGUCUCACUGAUUCCUCCUUCCUGAUGAACCGUAAUGCCAUUAAUUUGGUGUUGCGGGGAAUCUGGACUGUUACUUUGAAAAAUUGAGUGUUUAAAGCAGGCUAACGCUUGAAUACAUUAGCAUGGAAUAAUGAAAUAGGACGAUCGAUCCUAUUUUGUGGUUUCUAGGAUUGACGUAAUGAUUAAUAGGGAUAGUUGGGGGCAUUAGUAUUCAAUUGUCAGAGGUGAAAUUCUUGGAUUUAUUGAAGACUAACUACUGCGAAAGCAUUUGCCAAGGAUGUUUUCAUUAAUCAAAGAACGAAAGUUAGGGGAUCGAAGACGAUCAGAUACCGUCGUAGUCUUAACCAUAAACUAUAGCCGACUAGGGAUCGGAUGAUGUUAAUUUUUAAUGUACUC
rnacentral:rRNA from 1 species